CAGUGCCCUUGCUGUGUUGCCAUUGCUUUGUCUGCCGCCCGGCAUACGCUGGGCUUGGCAAAAGUCUGGAGCUCCUCCAGCGCCUCCGUACGGCUGGCAGGCGGGCGGCCCCUGGGAGUCAGGAUUGUGUGAUAACACUUUGAAAUGAUAGUUUAGCCCAGGAGAGCACUUGACACGCAAUAUCUUCCCUGCUACAAUCGACAGGCAAAGCAAGCUCAGAGCAGGGUAAACAUCGGCUCAGGGCGUAGACACACGGCGAGAUCCAGAGGAAAGAGCGCUCAUCACACGCCGGGAUGCAGGAACGCAUCCGGUCCACCGCACAAUUACCACUCUGUCCAUCACGGGUCUCAUCACCGGAGGCUUUUCUCACCCGCCGCAGAUGCAUUUAUUCUCCUCUUGGCCUGUCUGUGUAUUCAGCCCCGACAGCUGCAAAUAGACAACAGUUAUCCAGAUGAGACGAAGAACGUGUCAAAGGAAGGACGAAAGGUGUUCUUGCACCGAGAAAACAACCAAUUAAAAAGAGGGAUGACUGAACCUGGAAUAUUCACUUUUGAGGAAGAACUCUUCAUUGGAUUUGCCAAAGCUUUCCAGGAGGAAGCAAUCAUGGCAGCAUCCAGGUCCAAAGAAUCCUGUGCCAUCUGAACACCUGUCAUUGAGAUUAAUGGGAAUGAUGAUUGAAAGCAUUUCUUCAGAUUGCUGACUGGCCCAAGUCAAAAGUCCACUGCCAAGGAUCAAUAUAAAAGCACACCUCUCCUCAACAAGUCACAUGAUUUGAGGUAUCCUUCAUGUCUGUAGCAUAAAUGUUGUGGGAAGAGUUACACACCAAAGUUUAAUACUUGGAUAACACCACUAAAAACCACUACUAGUAAAGCAUAUACAGGAAAGAGAAAGAACACAAUACACCUCCUACAUAUUUGGCAGUCAUAGAGCUACAGCUACAACAACAAAAACCUCGCAAAAUACUCCAGACCACAAACGGCAAUCAACUUUUGGACUGAUUUAAAUGAGAUAAUUAAUCUGGCGUCUAUAAUCUUGUAGAUAGUAUUACACAAGGCUGUGAACAAGGACUUAUGAAAAACAAGUCAUUAUUUCAUUGACCUCGGAGAGGUGGGGCAGUUCUGUGUUUUCCAAAACGUCUCAUUAGGUUUUUCUUUGAAGCAUCCUCUCGAAACAGGAUUAGCCCCCACGGUCCAUCCCGACAUGGAGUCAGGGGUCGAAUACGCACUCGGGGGCCCCUGGGAUUGGUGUUAUUACAAGGAGAGGGGUUAAUUAUCUAGAUAGCAAUAAACCUUCUUUUUUUUUCCCAAAAAACCACAAGACUGUCCAAUCCAUUCCUUCUUUCUAUUCAUCCACAACCCAUCCCUCAAUACGAGUCACACACAUACACAAGGAUGAAUUCACAAUCCCUGCUCCUAUCCCAUGCACUGAUCACCCCAGAGUUGCUGUUUACAUUUGAGUGGGUUUCACUGAACUAUGUAGCUCAGACAAGCCCUUUUACAAACAGCUCAUCAGCCCAUCUUUCUGCAUGGAUUAAAAUACCAUGUAACCAUGCUUGUAUGCGGCUGCACAAAACCCACAGAUCCACUGCUCAGGGGGGUCAGCAUAAGAGAUAAAUAGACAGAUAGAUAGAGUAAAUUAACUUGAAUUGCAUGCUUCAUCGAUACUGUGAAUCACUGUGAAUAAUGUUGUAAUUCGAAUUUGCAUAGGCCAUGGAAACAGUCUAGCUAAGUAGGCCCAACAUUUACUAUUUUAUUUUAUUAUUUUAUUUAUUUUUUGCCCUUUUGGUCCUGAUCUAUUUCACAAAUGGUACAGUUACUAAGAGCUACCUCUGCUCUCUAUUAAUUGAUUGGUUAUUUAAGUCAUAUGACUCAAACUACAGAGACCAUUGACAGUGUAUCUUAUACAGGGGAUGUGAUUUAAUGUGGGGGAAAACAAAUCCAGAUUGCCACAGUUACCAUCGUUUAUUCCUAUGCAGGGAAAAUGAAGAGUUUCCAAAAGAUUUGGGUAUUUUUAGAAAGAAAAACAUGCCUAAAAAUUAUUGAGGUGUGUGUUUAAAGAAUGCUUUAUUUUGCAGACUUAAUUACAGGGGAAAUACUUCAAGGCAGUUUUUGAAGAAUAUUUCAUUGCUUAUGAAGGCAGCAUUCGAAUAUGGUGGUUAAAACAACAUGGAGUACAACACCGGCCUCUUUCAAUCUUUGUCAGGCAAGUGCUAUUCUCUUUCUUCUCUCCAGAGACCUUUGCGGUUUCAGAUUCAGGCACAAUUAAUACUGUAUUAUACAAAUAUAAUACAAAUAGUAAAGAGUGUAAAUUGAGAAAAUUUCCUUCAUCACCCAUGUGCUAAUCCCAAGGUAAAAAGCAGUAUGGAUACAGAUGGAGGUAGAGGAGAAACUGAAGUGGAUUGUAGUGGAAGUCCCCCUCCUUCACAGGCCCAAACUUCAGCGGCUUAGAAGCUCUCUGGGAAACUCUGACCAUUGAAAAGGCCAUCUGGUCAAGUUCACUGCUGGUUAAUUAGCAAUGAGACAUUCAAAGUUUUUUAUCACCUUUGUAGACAGCAAACUUGUUAAAAAAAAAAAAAAAAAAAAGAAAGAAAGAAAGAAAAAGAAAAUGAAAGUUACUUGCAGUUCAGACAAAAUAGAUGGAACAAUUUAGAUAAGAGGUGCACAUAUGACAGUCUGAAAAUGCUGUUUUUAUGUGAAUGCUAACAACAUGGACUACAGGAUUCAUAUAAUCCAGCUUAAACCAGCUCAUGACCAACUAUAGACCAGCAUAAAAACCAGCUCAAACCAUCUGCCAUGCUUCAAAACAUACUGUACCUAACCAGCAUAUGCUGUUUUUUUCAACAGGGAUUUGACUCCAACAAUACAUAUGAAGAAUUGUGUGUUCAUUGUGUCGCAUGAAGGUUGAAAUGCCAAACAAAGUACAAUAUUAUAGUCAACUGCCAAGCUAAUUGCCAAUAUUGGGAAAUUCACACUGCUACUGGUUACAAUGCUAAUUUGCUGGGGGAAAUAUGUGUCUGAUUUAGCCAUUACCUCUCAAAAAACUAAAUCUGGACUUUGACCUGAGCAAAAAUCUGUGCAAAAAUAGUGUAGAGUAUUCCAGCCUUAACAAAUAUUGAAAAUAAUAGAAGGGUUGUUUUCAUUUUGUUCAACAGACUGUAAAUCACAUGACCAAAUGCCUUUACAGGAAACGGCUUAAUGAGGUUGAUGAACUAAACAAAUUAGGGUGUUAUCAAAUUGCAAAGUCUACUCAGGCGCUGUUAUGUUCAUGUGGUUAGAAGGGUGGGAAUCUUGCAAUGCAAUCUAACUCGAUAAUUGAAUUUAAUAUUGUACAAAGAGGGACACAAUAUGGCAGAAGUUCUAUAUGUGUUUGGUUGACACAAUAUAUUAUGGCAUUGAGCUGUCAGUAUAUUUCUAGACAAUAGGAUAAAAGUGGUACUAAGAGUAUUUCCUUUUCCAAAAGGCAAGCUGUCAAGACAGUCCGUAGUUAUCUGAAGUUGUCGCUUUGAUUAAAGAUAGUGAGAUUGGCCAAAAUCAAAAGCACUCUGUGAUGUUUGAUGUAGAUUAGGGGGAAAAAAUGAGUAAAUGGGAUCUGGUGUACUGGAAACAAUUGUCAAUGAAACAUUAACAGUGUUAUUGAAAAGAGGAAAGAGAGUUUUGCGCAUGAUCAAAGAAGCCAUCUCAUGUGACAUUGUCUCUUCUCAUCAUCGUUUUGAAACUCUCCCAUAUGUGGCUGUAUGACCCCGUUCCAGAUUUGCUGUUGACAUACACCGAGCACAAAAUCCAUCCUUGCAUUAGGGAAGGUGGUCAGAUCCUGUCCGUUUUUCCACUCCUCUUUUUCCAGGCCCUUACAACACUAAGCUGAGCUUAAAAGUCAGCUGACAUGAUCAAAGAUACCAAGUCAUAUUCCAGCUAACGAGACCAGAGUGUUCCUGAUGCAUGGAGGAGACCUCCCAGAGGACGGGAACCUGCGCCGUGCACUCCGACAUGGGAAAGGACCGACUUUUGUGGCUCGAGCCCCAUUACCAUUCUCAUAAUUGCUUUUUCCAUUGUUGUCGCCCACUCUUCCUCCUUUUGCCUUUAUUGUACGCAUACAGCAAAGGGAAGCCUCUUGCAUUCAUCCCACUGAGAUAGAGGGAUCUUUUCUUUCGCCCCCUUUCCAAAAUGUACAUUUGGAGGGUUCGUGUUGAGCGCGCUUCUGAAGACAUCAGAGUGCACUCAACGGCAGCGACGUCUAGAAAGGAACGAGAACAACGGGGGUCCCUUUUAUUUGGCUAUGCACUUAUCUUGGUCCGGAUGGGCUCUUUGUUGCCCUUGGCCAAUGAAUUGCCUCUUCCACCUGACCGACAGAAAAACAUCAGGCUGGAGAGGUGCCUAUAGAAAGUUGUACUCGAGAGUUUCCACCUGGGCUGAAGAGAGCGAGAGUAGCCAACGUCAACAUGCCCUUCAAGGGGGCCAAGCCCUGGGGCACAGCAGCUGAGUUGGACGAAGAGGUUUGAAAAUGGGGGAUUAGAAGGGGAAUGUGUUGGGCUAAUCCACCAUUAUGCCGCGGCCCUCAGGUCUUUAGUGACCUCAAAGAGUUCUGCCGCCCAGAGAAAACCAGAAUACUGUCCGAGUCCAAUGCCUAAAGGUGCAUCACAUUUAGCAACCUGUAAUAAAGGUCAAUAGCGUAGAGAUGUGUGAAGCACUGCUCACACAGAAGUCACAUUCAAACCAAACAGCUUUCUAUUGGUCAGUGCGGCGAAUUCGAACAUGAGUAAAAUUUGCAUGGGGAACUUUAUUGCCCUUGCAUGAAACUCACGAUUGUGCAGAUUCUUAGGCCCUGUCCCAAAUAGCACACUUCAUAUGAGCACACUUCACAUGCACUUAAGGUGUUGUGGUCUUACAAUGGCUGGUGUGCGUGUGUCCGCUAAGUCCACAAGACCAUAGGGUGUCCCAUUUGUCAUUUUAGGUUUCAGAAGGGUGUUUGCGAGCGCCCCCCCCCCCUUGCAGCCGAUAUGCGCCCUCGAUUCGCACUUUUGCCGAGCCCACACUAAAGCAAGCUCGACUCCAGCAGACUUCUACCCGACAGUCAAAGUGGCAUUACGUCACGAAAGUGCGGACUCUGAGGAAUAUUGUGAGGGCUUAGGGUUCCAUUUCGGACAGGGCCUUAGUGGAAUGAAGGGAUUUCACUCACAACAUUUUGCCAAGCAACGGUCAAUGUGACCAUUCCUUAAUGCAGUGAUAGAAUUUCAUUACUCCUUUAUUUCUGUCUCUAACACAAAACAAGUGAUACUAGACCUUGCUGUGAACUGUUGUAUCCAUGACAGUCCAACAUCAUUAUUUGACAGAUCCUUAUCCAACAUGGACGGCUCACAAGAAAUUGCUAAUGGCAUCCUUCAUGGAAAUUUUGAGGUAUUUUUACUGAAGUGGUAAGUUUUUGCUUUUCCUAAAUUUCUCUGGUUUCCAAACAAGGGCACCUACAUGAUUCUCAUCUGACCUGCUUCAUUGCACUGCACCUUGUGUUUUGAAAAGCAAAAAAGUGUUCUGUGUGAAUUGCAUUCAUUUAGCUCACUACAUUUCAUUCUGUGUGAACACCCAACUUAUAAAUGCUAAAUCUACCACAGCAAGCGCAGCUCCCACUGCUAUCACAGACUUAGUAAAUGGACUGCAUCGUUAAAUGAUAGACUGUCACGUUAUUAAAUUCUCAUCAAAUCACAGGAAAAACAACCAUGGCAAGGGAAAAGAUUAUUGCCACACAUGAUUACUGACAUUCAUAUUGAAAUGCUGGUGUAUGAUGUGCAGUGUGUGUACUUUGCGUACAGGCUGGGGAGCCACUGUUUCCAAAGGCAAUUUCAAUGACAUUGACUUUUCUCUUCUACCUUAUCACAGGUAGCUUCUUCUAAUAGACCUGCAUCUCCUACUGUUUGAAGUCAUUCCCUCCUCCAGCCAGUAAGGAUGAGCUUCAUGGUUCCCCCAAGCACAAUCGCACUGACUUGGAGCCUGUCCCAGCCCGGCACCAGAAUGAUCCAAGUCUUAGGGGAAAUAAGACGACAGUUCAUUGCAGCGACCACUGAAGUCAUCAUUCAGGCAUCCAUCAAAAUAUAUCAACAAUGCCACCCUCUGUCUCCAUUUAGACAAGAUUUGGUUAAGAUUGGUUAAAAAUAUGAGAAUACGUUUAUGUGGAUUUAUGAUUUUAGAGAAUGUGAACUCUCAAGGGUUUAGACAAAAGUUUAGGGCCUUUGCAGUUGAGUAUUUCAGCUAUUGUUAACUACAGAAGCCCUAUAGAGGCCAUGCAUAAUUUUUUUCUGACUUGUUUUGUUAUGAUCUUAACUUAAUUUUCUUGUGGUUACUACAUAGCAAAAGUUGUGUUCUCCAUCUUGACUUGAGUUGUUGACAUAAGAUUGUUUAUUUGAUCUUAAGAGACAUAAGAUCACAAAAGCUAUUAUAUACUGCUGCAUCAUGGAGGAAUUAAUUUACUUUCCGAUUACAUGGUUUGUGAGAAAUAACGGCAUAGUUUUUUCUCUCAAGAUUGCGAGAAAACAGCUUUAUGUAAAUAUCACAAAAAAAUUAGGUGGUGAUCAUGAGAAAACAAGAAACACAUACUGCAAGACCUCUUUGGGUUUCCAUAGUUUUGGCCAAUAUUAUGAAUUUUACAAAAUUGUUGGCACUGUUUGAAUAGUAACUAUUGAAUAGUACUAUGUUAUCAGUCUUUUUACAGUAUAUUAUAAUGGUUUCACUUUUUCUACAAACUCUAGACUACAACAUUAGUGUGAAUGCACUUCAUAAAAUGAAAAAACAAAAACACGCUUUGCAAUAUAGAUUUAUAAUAUCCAAUCUAUAUUGAACAUUCACAUUCAUAUUCAUAUAGAAUUUAACUGAUGCCAGUAAUAGCCAACAGCUUUGAUUGUGGUUCAUCCAUUCAGAUUUUCAAAUUGCAUCUAAAAAAUACUAUGGAAGUCAAUAAACUGUUUGGUUACAGACAUUCUUUAAAAUAUCUUUUGUGUUCAGCAGAAGAAAGAAAUUCAUACAGGUUUGGAACAAAUUUAGGGUGAGUAAAUGAUGACAGAAUUGUCAAUUUUGGGUGAACUAUCCCUUUAAAGCUUCCCAGUGUGUUUAGAGUCACUGCAUUGUAACUGAUUAAUGCUAUUUAUAGAAAUAUUAGGAAAGUGAUGUGAUUAUAAUGAAAAGUUAAUCCAAUUCAUGUCUAACUUUUGUCCUGUUGCCCUAGCUUCAUGGAAACUUUGGUUCUGAUCUGAUUCCAUGUCAGAUCUUGUUAAGUCUGCUGUUUUUCUUUUCCCGGCCACCUUUUCAAGCUGUAGAGUUGGAAUUAAUUUCGUCAGGACGCGUCCUGCUGCGUCCGGCUAAAUCCUGCCCUGGGAGAGACGUGCUGAGUCUGUCUCCAGGGAAACAACCACUAAUGGAUACUUUCAACCUCCUCACUUUCAGCUAACGUUUUUUCUGUGAAGAGAAAACAAGAGAAACAUUGCCUAUUUAGCUUCAACUGACACUUCUUUCAAAGGCCACAUCAUUGACUUCUCAGAAUUGGUUGUGUUUCUUUCACUUUUUACUCCUCUCUUUACUGGAAGGAGCAAUUGUCAGCAGAUUAGCGUAUUAUGAGAACUGGUUUAGACAUUUACUGCAAUGACCUAUAGCUCACCUUACUGUAAAAAUGUAAGAUGCCAACAUUGAACUAAUCAUAUUGACAGAGGGUUCCUGUGAUUUCACUGAAUCUGGGAGAAAUAACUCUAAAUGAAUUGCGACCGCUGAUAUCGUUGUUUAUUUGCAUGUGCUGUUUGCAUUUGAUUCACUAUAUAAUUAUGCAAAUCAGGUAACUGCAAAAACACAUCACAUGUGCUUAACAUAAUAUGAGUGUUGCAGUUCCUCAUGCUAGGCAAAUAGCGCUGACUUUGUGUAAGGCGCAAUCAUUAAUAAGCCUGCAUAUAAAUUUAAAUAUUUAAUUUAAACACUAAUAAUGGAGUGUUAUUUCAGCUCAUUUAGUGCCUGGUUAAGAUUUACUGAAGGUGGUUAUCGAAUAGGGAAAGUUGUUAGUUGUGUCAACUAGUUUUUCUUAUAUAUUUUUAGUUUUCAUUAUUUAGCUGUGGUGCUUUAAUUAGCAAACUGAUAGUGGGUCAAAUGUGGAAAAACCCAACAGCUGGGUUGGGUUUGUCCAUAUUUGACCCAAAGUUUGGGUUGAAACAACCCAGCAUUUUUUAUGCAAGAAAAUAUGUCACUACCUCUUAAGACUAUCGUGUUAAAAAUAAUACUUUUUUUUUUUUUGCUACACUUGAUCCAUUGAAGUUUUCCUAAAAGUUGUCCAAUCGUACCAGCCUCAAUAUACAGGGAUUCCUAAAGACCAGUUACACGACUGAUCGGUCAGGCAACCCACGACUAAUUAAUGCUAAAAAUAUGUUGUUCUGCACAUCCUUUUUAGUGAAUAAAACACAGGUUGUUUAGUGAAUUCGUCCCUCUGUGUCCCGUAAGGCUCAGGGGCGAUUGCUGUUAUAAACGUCUCAUAAUGAAGUAAAACAAAAGAGCUUGUAUAUGAACACAACAGAAGAAGUUUCAUACCGCUUAGUACGCACCACAGAUUACUUCUGAGUGAAAAGGCGUAAAUCCAUGUAGUACUGUAUUGUAUGCCAGUCACAGUGUUAAGGCUUUGCUUUUCUAUUCUGUCUGAACAAUAGCUAGUCACAUACACCACAAUCCCUGAAGCAGACAAUGUGGUCUGUGUCUGCCAGGGUUUGUAUGACACGGCGGGCAGCCCCACACAAAGACGGCAUACAGCGAAGACACACGCCCGAGAAAAGGACUGUAAAUGCACUCUGGCUGCCAUCAAACAUGUCAGUAUGCAAACAAACUUCAUGUGACUGUUUCUUCAUGCAAGUCUCUACAUAAGUUAUGCAUUUUAGUGUAAAUUGACAUGCGUCACAGUUUGAACUGACUGACAACAUUGCUAAUUGACCCCAGCUCUUAUGCACACAAAGUCAAUGUCCUCAUGUAAAGGUCAGAUGGACACGUGUGGGGUGUGUACAUGACAAAAGAAAAGAGGCAAGACUACAGAAAGUGCUUCCAAAGCCAUUAACAUGGAACUCUGAAUUAUUUUGCAUUUGUUUUACAUCUCAUCAGCUCAAACAAAAGACAAUGGAUGUGUGGUAACAGUAAAGGUCUGCACCAAGCAUCUGAACACCCAGCAAUCAAAAUACUGUAAACUCUUAAGGGUGGCUUCCCAUUGUGUCUUCAGUCGCUGCCAACAAAUGGUGUUACACAAGACUACCAACAAGAUCUUUAUGUGCAGGGGUAACCUUGAUCAAGGUCCUCAGUGGCAUUCUAAACGUAUGGUCAACCCCCUAAAUCACUUCAGACCAGCUAGAAACCAGGUAAAUAUGUUCCAUUGGAGAGAGCUGCUAAGUGAAAUACACAGUAUGUAGUCUUCUUCCAUAAAACUUACUCUAACACUAAUAUUAUUGGUGUUACGGACAUCUAAAGUGAAAUUGGACCUUGUUUUUGUUUAUUGUUUGGUUCUAGAACACCCUUGGUUAAUGUUAGAAUAUAAAAAACUCAAGGGGUAAUUGAUGCUGUGCUUAAAUAUUCUUUGCACCCAGUGUAACGGCCCUUCGAGUAAAAUUUUCACUGUAAGAGUCAUUGUCCCCCAUCAGUUCCUGGCAUUCUGCUCAUGGCUAGUUCUGCCCACUCCUCAGCAGUGGGAGGUACACAAGAGGAACUGUUUGUACCGCUAACAAGGGGAGGUAAAGGGACAUGAGGGGUCUCAUUGCAGCUGCCACAGGUCACCUUUCACAUUCACCUCCACUAUUCAACUGCCAGUACGCUCCAGGUGGACUAUUCAAUGCCUCUAUGCAAGCUGUGGCCUAAUGUGUAAGAGCAAACCACAUUAGAAUGAAUUGAAACAGUUGCACUUAUGCUGUAAAACUUUGUGCAUUGUGCAUUAUAUAAAAUCUUAAGUUUACCCCUGUUAAAAAAAACAGCUAAAUCCAGCCUAUUCUGGUUGGCCGGUCUUAGUUGGUUUAAACUGGAUGUAGCUGGUUUAAGCUACUCAAGCUGAUCUCCCAGCCUGGCCAAGCUGGUGUUCAGCUGUUUUUAGCAGGUUGGUCAAGCUGGCCUCCCAGCUUGAUUAGCUAAAGAAGUGGUAAAAACCAGCCUGCUAAACCAGCUUUAUGACAAGUCCAGUUAAAACUAGCCAACCAUCUUUUUUCAGCCUGGACAUUUUAGAUGCAAAUUACUGUGGUGACCUGCAAGAACAUGAUGUAAAAGCUUAUCAUUUCUUCAAAAGAUUAUGAGUAAACCACCAAAACAUUGGGGUUUGGUUUGCUAGCCAUUUCCUCACCACAAAACUUGAAUUUUGGUUGGUUAGCAUGGAAAUACUAUGUACUGUAUGCUAAAUAUCCUUUGCUAAAUAUAAGCAAAAAACAAAAACAAAAAAACAAGUAUGUAAUAUCCUAGAAAGAUUUAGUUGCCUUUUGUUUAGCUAUGAACAAGAUUUCACAUAAAUAAAUGACUGACCACAAACAUGAGCGACUCACCCGAUUCAUAUGGAAAUACCUUUAAUGCUUUUUUUGAUCUUGGUGAUUCUUCAACAGGUAUCAGUAUUAUAGUAUUAAUAUUAUUAAUUUAGAGUUUGUUAGAUAUAAAAAAUCUUUUUGAUGUAUAGAUUGUCUAAUGAUGUCUUAAUGCAGUUAAGUCAUUACCUGAUGAUAUCUGAAUGGGAGAGUAGUCGUUUUUCUUUGCUUCAUGAUUUUCUGGAUGUGUGGGUCUGGAUCUAUUCACAUGCCAAAUCCAUGUGGCGCAAUAACGUCCUUCUUAACUUUUUUUUUCUUCUUCCAUCAGUCAAUAAAAGGACACAGAUGCUUCAUUCUAAACUAUUUGCUGCAGUAAAUGACUUUGUCAAGAUGGAAGAGGAGACUCUUUUUUAAGGUGUAAUUGUAGGUGUCCUAAAGACAGCUUUGAAUAUAAUUGCCAAUGCACUUGUCCAGAAAAUUGCUUUGGGUGGACCAGGCAUCCAGAAGAACAAAUAAAAUACUACAAAAAAAAAAAAAAAAAAAAAAAAAAAAAGUGAAGGAAUAACCAUUGUGAAAUAGAAAUUGUGCCAUUUCAGAAUUACUGUUUUAUAUAAAAAUGCCCAAACAAGUACAAACAGCUUGUGUUAUUGAGGGAACAACGUACUUGGAGAGACAUUACAGAAAACACAUGGAACUGUCCCUCAGCUCAAUGCUGCCACCUAGUGCAGUGUUACAUCAGUGCAUAUUCAUGAACUCGUGUUUGUUAAAAAUCACUUUAAUAUCCUAUGAAGAAAACUGAAUUUAUGGCUGAGUAAUAUCAGAGAUUGUGUGGGUUGUUGAAGAGAGAACUGUUUUGCUUGGCAGAUGAUAAAACAGGUGAAAAAAUUACAUGUAAUUACAUUAAAGAAGAAAACAGCCAUUUCCAGGGAAUAUUUUUUACUUGUGCCUAGAACAACAAUGGCAUUAGCAACACCAUGUCAAAAUCCCACAACAUCUUAGCAUUGUGCCUGUGAGUUUUGCAUAGUCAAGCACCGCUCAUUAAAAAUGUUUUGCCCUGUUAUAAUUUAAAAAACAUUUUGCUUCUAUUCAGGAAUUAUUAUGGGAAUGCAAAGUGGCAAAUGUAAUCUCUGAAAGCUGCCAUACUUUUUCAAGGAGUAUGAAACGUUACUACUGUAUUUCGGUUCCUGAGGCAAGGUUAGAUUUAAUUACAAUUCAGGCAAAACAGAAAAUAAAACACUCAACUUGAUUGUCACCCACAAGUCUGCACUCCUGUGAUAUGUCUUUGAUUUUAAAAUGUUUUAGAAAAAUGUAAAAAAAAACA